rnacentral:lncRNA from 1 species
AAAGAGAGAUUUCCGAAAAAUUCGUCGUAGGUUUUUUGGAAAGUGCGACUGAAAAUAGCCCAUGCACGUCAACAUUACAGUAUAAAAUGACCCGCAUCACAACCAGUGCCCAAUCAGUGGGUGCUCGAGGCGUUGUAUGUGUUACCAUAUAGAUCAAAAGCCACGUAUUUUUUUUGUGACCCAACUCAGAAUAACAGACGGAAAAGUGCCCCGAGUAACAAUCAUCUACCGCCGGCUCUAGGAGCGGCAAAAUGGCCGCAUCUUCAGCGGUCACACUCUUCCUGGUAUUUUUCUGCUUGAGUGAAACCCUCCGAGCACAAGUCGAGGCCGCCAAGAAGCAAACCAACAGCAAACAAACCAACACCGGGCAAAUCAACCCCAUUCCCUGUUCGAAACUAAAAGAUGUCCCAGAAGGACGGAUUGUCACUGCCAGUUCCAAUUAUCGGAAAUGGUGCGGAUCAACGCAGGGAUUAUUUCUUGCGGUAGAGAAAAACAAACUCUUUUAUCUACAAUGUACAAGUGCUGCGGUUCAGGCGCGAGCCAAAGUUAUGUUCUAUCAUGUAAACAGCUACACGUCCAAUACACAAUUGACCUUCGAUGCUAACGAUCUAUGCACCGUCAAGGAGCAAGGGUUGAGCACCGGGGUGAGGGCAAAGCAACUCGCAGAUAGGCUCGAAGACAUCUACCUACCUUAUGGUAAUUCUUGCAACGCUCAGCACUACAUGGACUACUUGUCUGGGGACGAGUCGUUGCUAACGUGCAUGAUGAUUGCCCGGUGUUCAACACUUUCUCAGCUUCCACCGACGUCAUGAGUCCGAAUUUCCGACUCAAAGGGAGGAACAAGUUGUACGCUUUGACCCCAGACCCCACGACAGGCGGUCUCACUGUUAUUCCCGCACGGGGGGGAGGAAGACAAAUAUCGAAUACCACCGUGAACCCUGCCACGAAUGCUAGUAAUCAACCGAAGAAUCGCGGUUUUUGGAAGAGUGUGAGCUGGGGCUCGUUGUCUAACAAAACUUUUUUGGGAGUAAAAACGCGUCGGCACCUUUGGGCGUUGAAGGGAAGUGGCACAAGGGUGGUGGUAGCGGGACAGGGGGCGGAACUAAUACUGGCUAUCCGUAUUCGAGUCAAGCCGGCCGCGAAGCUGGACAAAAUCACUCAUCUGCUGCAACUAAGCUCCGACCGCAACCCUCCUUUGCUUCUGUUGCUCUUACAAGCCUUGCUGCGAUGGGUGCUUUGCGAGGUGGUCUGCCAGUAGGAAACGGAGCUUAUAGACUUGGAUAAAUAAAUAAGCGAUGAAUAAGCAAUGGACAGCAAAUAAAUGUAUUUAAUAAAAAAGGACUUCGAGUUGGAAUUCAAAUUUUAAUAAUGAAUUGAAUACACUUUUAGAAUUUGAGCACUAAAAAUAUAUAUAUUACAUUUAAAGUUGGAAUUAAAAUUAAAAAAUGAUUUCUUUAGAUUAGAAGUUAAGUGCUAAUAAAAAAUGAAUAUAUAGUAAAAUGAUUUAUAUAUAUAAGUAAAAUGAAUAUAAUGUAUUUAAAGCAUAUAACUAAAGAAAAUUGGUAAUUCUAAGCUUAAGAAUAUAGUUUGCGAAGGCAAUAUCCUAAAUACGUCGAUUUUUGCCGCGUGGGUCGAAAUCUCGGAUUUUGCGAUUACGAUAGAAAACUCUUUGGUGCUCGGGCCAUAAGAAUGAAUGGGAAAUAUAAAGCGCCAGUGACGUCAGCGGCAACGACGGGAGAAACGACGAUCGGGGCGGUCUUAAACUCAUGAGCCCUGUCCACAAGGCUCUAGAUACAUGCCCACGGCUCAUGGGUGCCGGUGCCGCACUUAGUUGGCUCACAGUUCCGUUUGCUGAAUUGGAGAGACAGGAUUUCACGUUCUGUCAAACGGAACUAUGUGCACAGUGAAUGAGCCGUGGGCAUGUAUCUAGAGCCUUGUAGACAGGGCUCAUGAGUUAAAGACCGCCGCGAUCGUCGUUUCUCUCGUCGUUGCCGCUGACGUCACUGGCGCUUUGUAUUUCUCAUUCAUUCUUAUGGCCCGAGCACGAAGUAGUGCUCCCCAUAUUUCCCUCUGCACCUAGUUCUGUUUGAUAGAAAUACGUCCAAUUGCAUUAUCACUUUGAGAAUCUUGGGCAUUUCUCACGGAAAAUUACACUGCUUUUCCCCCGAAUCUCGGGCAAAAAUCAGACAAAUUUUGGACGAAAAUUGCGGAGGUACAUACGUGAAUAAAUCAAUUAUUUGAAUCAAUUUUUCAACCUUGGAGUGAAGUCACGUUCCUUCGUCCGGGAUGACGACGACAUAUCAAUGGCCAAAUUGCGAAACGACGUAACUCAAUUUCGGUGUUUCAAAAUGUCCGUUCCUUUUUUAUUCUCUGUACAAGAAAUACGUCAACCUAAAAACUUGAAAUUCAUAGGUACAGAAUAUUCUGCCAACAGAGAAGAAAAACCAAGGAGGUUUUCAAGACGGUACAUCGACUACUUUUUCGAGGAAAAAAAUAAAGAAUGGAAGGCAGUCUGCAACAUAGUAAACGGAGAAAUGUGGUUUUGUACUUUGGCCAUCAAUAUGUUUGUUGUGCGCAAGGUUGCUUAUCGCCGUUUGUAAGUGGGGGUGUGUGUGUGUGUGGAUUUUCUCGACCGUCAUGUAGUCUGCAGGGCUCUAUUUGGAAUUUUUAUUUUUAUUCUUCAGACUGAAAAUGGCUCAGUUUUGGGCCGAAACGUCUCGGAUAUUUAUGUGUAAUUUUUAGCCUUGUUUUCCAUUUUUUCUCUUAUGUUUUUGAUAUCAUCAAAUUGUCAUGGGCUGCUGUUUUAGAAAGUUUAACCUACGUUUGUAAGUAAUAUGCAUGUCAUUGGGAGCUCUAUAUUCGUACAUAGAUACAUGGAACAUUUUUCGUUCUGAGGAAUAAGUUUUAGGUGGGUUAGUUCCUCUUUGUGCCACGAGAGGGCAUGAAGUUAUAACAUAAUUACUAUGGGCAAUUUUGCACUCUGGACGUAGAAAAUUAGAAUUUAUAAUAGCUUUUCCUGGACUUUUUUAAAUGGUGAGCUUGAAACUGACAUGAUUAAGGUUCGGUUUGACGUGUUCGAGGAUUUUUUUGCCGCUCCGAACGUUCGUAGAUCGCUACACUAUGCGGUGGUAAUAAUUUUUCAAAUUUGAUCUUCGUGGGCUGAGGUCUCAUUUUCCUGGUUGUUGUCAUAUCGACGGCGAGACUUUCAAAGGACGUCAGUGGCGUGGGGUGAAUGAUCGACUUUCGAUAGUUCCCCAUUUGAGGCUAUUGUGAAGAAUCGAAUAUUAAGGUGUUCGCUAUGCGAACUCCGUGUUUAUCGAUAUUUUUCCUUCGGUCUAAAUGGCAGAUCAAUCGAUAUAUAGCAAACCCCGCCGCGCCGCUGAACGACGUAUUUCGUAUUCAAAAUCGAUACUCCCAUUUUAUUUUAUUUUUAAAGGAGAAUAAAUCGCCAUCAUUUCUCGAAGUUUUCACAGAUUUUUGUUCGCUCAGAGAAGAAAAAUCCUGGAAGUUGACAGUUUGCGCGAAUAGUAAUUGGCAGUGCCUUUGGUGCUUUUGGUGUUUUUGGUGGUGUAUUAUAGCAGUAUUUUUAUUCUUUAAGUUGAAACUUCUAAUUUUUGUAUUUGAUUUUAUAAAAAUCCUGUGGGUUGUGAUAUAGAAUAUAAAAAUCCUACAUAGUGAGCUUGAAAUAUAAAUAUUACUAUCAUCGAAAUAGUGCUUGAUCAGUUCAUUAUUGACUUAAAUGAAAAAUGAAUGUCGUACUUUGGUGAUCGAUUAAUCUGCCGUAUAAACUUAUGGAAAAGAAUCGAUUAUUAAAUAAUCGAUAGUUUACCAUAGCUUCAAAUGAUAAAAUAUCGAAAGUUGGUAAUUACGCCUCGCCACUUGUAAUUGCAAACGACGACCUCUAUCCGGGCCUCACAGCAGAAUGCACCAGUGGCGUGGCGUGCUUUGCGAUAUAUCGAUUGUUCUGCCAUUUAAACCUAUGGCCAAGAAUCGAUUAUUAAGGUGUUCGCUGCCAACACCCUGAUUAUCGAUCCUUUCCCAUAGGUUUAAACGGCAUAACAAUCGAUACAUCGCAAAGCACGCCACGCUACUGGAAUGUGCGUUGGCAUCAGUGACUCGCUGAGGUAGGAACUUUGUAAGCUGCAGCAAUAUGAGAAUGUAGCAUAAGACUUCUCGAAACAUUUCAUAAUGUUUUUACGAUUCUUUCAUGAGCUUUUAAUUGUAAAUGCAUUGUACUAUUAUGUGUAAGUGUGAUUUUCAAUCGGUAUUUAUUAAAUUUACUUUGGCAG